rnacentral:misc_RNA from 1 species
GAUGAAGAACGCAGUGAAAUGCGAUAAGUAGUGUGAAUUGCAGAAUUCAGUGAAUCAUCGAAUCUUUGAACGCACAUUGCGCCCUUUGGUAUUCCUUAGGGCAUGCCUGUUCGAGCGUCAUUUAAACCUUCAAGCUCAGCUUGGUGAUGGGUGACUGUCCUCCCCUCGCGGGGGGACUCGCCUCAAAAACAUUGGCGGCCGGUACAUUGGCUUCGAGCGCAGCAGAAACGCGGUCUCGAGUCCGGUGGAUCGGCUCCCAUAAGUCUAUUCUUUUAUUUUGACCUCGGAUCAGGUAGGGAUACCCGCUGAACUUAAGCAUAUCAAUAAGCGGAGGA